UACGUAGGGCGCGAGCGUUGUCCGGAUUUAUUGGGCGUAAAGAGCUCGUAGGCGGUUUGUUGCGUCGGCUGUGAAAUCCCGAGGCUCAACCUCGGGUCUGCAGUCGAUACGAGCAAACUAGAGUGUUGCAGGGGAGACUGGAAUUCCUGGUGUAGCGGUGAAAUGCGCAGAUAUCAGGAGGAACACCGGUGGCGAAGGCGGGUCUCUGGGCAACAACUGACGCUGAGGAGCGAAAGCAUGGGGAGCGAACAGG
rnacentral:rRNA from 1 species